CUCUAAUCUUUCAGCUUAUUUGCUGCUAGCAGAGGCUGCCAAGGGCCCUGGAAGUUCAUAAACAGGGACCAUGACUUGCAAAAUGACUCUGUGUCAUGUGGAGUGUUCUCAAUAAUGUUUGCAGAAAUGAUCCUCCAGGGACAACAAGGUCACCUCGAAUGCCUCCCCAUCUCCCAAGAGCGGGAGAGACUUGGGAUUUUGUUGUUUAAAUCCCUUGAUAGUUCAGGCAUUUGUACAGUCUGCUACAAGAAGAUGUCAGGGAAGAAAAAG